rnacentral:rRNA from 1 species
GACGAACGCUGGCGGCGUGCUUAACACAUGCAAGUCGAACGGAAAGGCCCUGCUUUUGUGGGGUGCUCGAGUGGCGAACGGGUGAGUAACACGUGAGUAACCUGCCCUUGACUUUGGGAUAACUUCAGGAAACUGGGGCUAAUACCGGAUAGGAGCUCCUGCUGCAUGGUGGGGGUUGGAAAGUUUCGGCGGUUGGGGAUGGACUCGCGGCUUAUCAGCUUGUUGGUGGGGUAGUGGCUUACCAAGGCUUUGACGGGUAGCCGGCCUGAGAGGGUGACCGGCCACAUUGGGACUGAGAUACGGCCCAGACUCCUACGGGAGGCAGCAGUGGGGAAUAUUGCACAAGGGGCGGAGGCCUGAUGCAGCAACGCCGCGUGCGGGAUGACGGCCUUCGGGUGGUAAACAGCUUUCGCCUGUGACGAAGCGUGAGGGACGGGAAUGGGGAAAGAAGCACCGGCGAACUACGG